rnacentral:rRNA from 1 species
CGGAUUGUAGUCUGCAACUCGACUACAUGAAGCUGGAAUCGCUAGUAAUCGCGAAUCAGAAUGUCGCGGUGAAUACGUUCCCGGGUCUCGUACACACCGCCCGUCACACCAUGGGAGUCAGUAACGCCCGAAGCCGGUGACCCAACCAAUUCAGGAGGGAGCCGUCGAAGGUGGGACCGAUAACUGGGGUGAAGUCGUAACAAGGUAUC